CCUACGGGUGGCUGCAGUGGGGAAUAUUGCACAAUGGGCGCAAGCCUGAUGCAGCCAUGCCGCGUGUGUGAAGAAGGCCUUCGGGUUGUAAAGCACUUUCAGCGGGGAGGAAGGCGGUGAGGUUAAUAACCUCAUCGAUUGACGUUACCCGCAGAAGAAGCACCGGCUAACUCCGUGCCAGCAGCCGCGGUAAUACGGAGGGUGCAAGCGUUAAUCGGAAUUACUGGGCGUAAAGCGCACGCAGGCGGUCUGUCAAGUCGGAUGUGAAAUCCCCGGGCUCAACCUGGGAACUGCAUUCGAAACUGGCAGGCUAGAGUCUUGUAGAGGGGGGUAGAAUUCCAGGUCUAGCGGUGAAAUGCGUAGAGAUCUGGAGGAAUACCGGUGGCGAAGGCGGCCCCCUGGACAAAGACUGACGCUCAGGUGCGAAAGCGUGGGGAGCAAACAGGAUUAGAUACCCGGGUAGUC
rnacentral:rRNA from 1 species